UGGCCAGGCGGUCAGCGUUGAAGGGCCGCCCUGCGCCCAUUCGCCUGCUGGUUUCAAGACCCGGGUUGGCUGGGCGGGCAGCGGAACGAGGCGCGCGGGUUGGCUGAAGAGAGGGAAAUUGGGGUGGGGCAGGCGAGAGCCAGCCGCUGAUUGGGUUGGCCUGGUAAAGGCCCUGAGCUCAGACCGGCUGAGCGCUGGGAGGAGGGUGGACCAAAGGCGAGACUCUUGGCCUGCGUGAUUGGCUGGGACACGAGACGUUGAUAGGAUAGGGCGCCCAGGAGAACUGGGGAGAGGAGUUCGGGGUCGGGGCCGCGGAAAGGCGGGAGGCGCCCCGCUGCUUUAGGAGCCCGGCGCGGGGCACGAUGGGACGCCCCCGGGAAGGGGCGGAGCCAUGUUCGGGCUGCGGUUGGGAAAGCGCCGUCACUCCAAGGGGCGUGUCGAGGAGGGUUUCGCGGGCCCUAGCGGGGGAGGCGGGGGAGACCGUUAAAGCCCUGCACCGCGCCCACAGGAAGCUGCUUUCUUGGCCAGGCCUACUUGGUACCAGGCUCUCAGCUGGGAAGGACCUUGAAGACCAUGCAGCUCAACUUCCAGUUUGCAGAUGUGGAAACUGAAGCCCAGAGAGGGUAUGCAACGUGUCCAAGAUUACGCAGCCGGUAUUACAAAUUGGAUCAACACAACCUGAAGUCAGAGGGCAAAGGACCCUGUCAGAGCAGUCCGUGUGGGCCAAGCCCUCCUGGGCACAGAAUAGGAUGGGAGCGGCUCUGAAGGGGACGCAGAAGACACCCUCCACCACCUGUGCCGCAGCAUAAUUCAAGCCAAUUAACUAUUAUACACAAAACUUGUAUAUAUGCUGAAAAUGAAAUUACUUCUUUCUAGAAUUUCUAAUUGUAAAAUGAGAAUACUAAGCAGAUUUCUUCUCAGUCUUUUUGGUGUCCCUACUUUGCUGGUGCCUUAAGCACAUGCCUAGAUGGCCUCAUGGCCGCCCUGCGUGUGGCACCUGGACAAGAGAGCCUCAAGAAACGGGAACUGGCAAGUGUCAGGUUAACUCCUGAAUGCUGACUGAUCCAGAAUGAAUUUAGAAGGACUCUUCGGAUUUUUCUGUUUAGGUCUUAGUCAUUAAGGAAUUCAGAAACUGGAUUUUCUUAGACUCAAAAAAAUCCCAUGAUAGCAAAACUUCUUAUAAUCCUAGUGAAUGAUAGGAAACGUUUAUAAUUUCUUAUUGAAGAGAAUAAAAGAAAUCAGGACAUCAA